rnacentral:lncRNA from 13 species
CUCUGUUGGUCUGCAGUCAGAUUUGGGUUUGUUGACAACACCACAGCACAACUUUUAUAUGCAAACAGUGAGACGGCUACAGAGCCACAGAGACGGAGGCCCAAAAUAACAGUGUUAGAGCAGUUGGAAUAUCGGACGGUGGGUGGGUGGGUGUGUGUGUGUGUGUGUGUGUGUGUCUGGCCGGGUCAGGACUCCAACCUUCUCUGGCCGGGUCAGGACUCCAACCUUCUCUGGCCGGGUCAGGACCAACCUUCUCUGGCCGGGUCAGGACUCCAACCUUCUCUGGCCGGGUCAGGACUCCAACCUUCUCUCGCUGGGCCAGGACUCCAACCUUUUCUCGCUGGGCCAGGACUCCAACCUUCUCUCGCUGGGCCAGGACUCCAACCUUUUCUCGCUGGGCCAGGACUCCAACCUUUUCUUGCUGGGCCAGGACUCCAACCUUUUCUUGCUGGGCCAGGACUCCAACCUUCUCUUGAUGGGCCAGGACUUCAACUGGAAGAAGCUACUGGUUCCUGGUAUUUAUGAAUGCGGCUCAAGGCGUUUGGGAAUCAUGGUUUCAUCAGCCUGUCGUCAGCGCCGUUCAUGACGCACACCUGUCAUCAGCGGUACGCGCAUUUGUCGCAUUGACACUCAC